rnacentral:rRNA from 1 species
CGAGGCGACGAUGCGUAGGGGUUCUGAGAGGAAGGUCCCCCACACUGGUACUGAGACACGGACCAGACUCCUACGGGAGGCAGCAGUGAGGAAUAUUGGUCAAUGGGCGCGAGCCUGAACCAGCCAAGUCGCGUGAGGGAUGACGGUCCUACGGAUUGUAAACCUCUUUUGCCGGGGAGCAAGCGUGCGUUCGUGAACGCGCGUCGAGAGUACCCGGAGAAAAAGCAUCGGCUAACUCCGUGCCAGCAGCCGCGGUAAUACGGAGGAUGCGAGCGUUAUCCGGAUUUAUUGGGUUUAAAGGGUGCGUAGGCGGGAUGCCAAGUCAGCGGUAAAAAUGCGGUGCUCAACGCCGUCGAGCCGUUGAAACUGGCGUUCUUGAGUGGGCGAGAAGUAUGCGGAAUGCGUGGUGUAGCGGUGAAAUGCAUAGAUAUCACGCAGAACUCCGAUUGCGAAGGCAGCAUACCGGCGCCCUACUGACGCUGAGGCACGAAAGCGUGGGUAUCGAACAGGAUUAGAUACCCUGGUAGUCCACGCAGUAAACGAUGAAUGCUAACUGUCCGGCUCGAAUGAGCGCUGG